UGAAGUAAAAGUCGUAACAAGGUCUCCGUUGGUGAACCAGCGGAGGGAUCAUUACAGGACUCGCAAGACCCCUUCACCCUGUGAACCUCACUACAAGCACGUUGCUUCGGCGGGUGUCCCGGCGGGGGUUUUCCCUCGCCGGGGCGCACAGCCCGCCGGCAGCCUACUAUACUCUGUCUCUUUGCGUUGGCAUCUCGAGAAAAAACAAACAAGUUAAAACUUUCAACAACGGAUCUCCUGGUUCUG
rnacentral:misc_RNA from 1 species